rnacentral:rRNA from 1 species
GGGCCCGCACAAGCGGUGGAGCAUGUGGUUUAAUUCGAUGCAACGCGAAAAACCUUACCUACCUUUGACAUACCAAGAAUUCUGCAGAAGUGUAGAAGUGCCUUCGGGAGCUUGGAUACAGGUGCUGCAUGGCUGUCGUCAGCUCGUGUCGUGAGAUGUUGGGUUAAGUCCCGUAACGAGCGCAACCCUCAUUCUUAGUUGCCAGCGAGUAAAGUCGGGGACUCUAAGGAAACUGCCGGUGACAAACCGGAGGAAGGUGGGGAUGAUGUCAAGUCAUCAUGGCCCUUACAGGUAGGGCUACACACGUGCUACAAUGGGCAGUACAAAGGGUUGCGAAGCCGCGAGGUGGAGCUAAUCCCAUAAAGCUGUUCUCAGUCCGGAUUGGAGCCUGCAACUCGGCUCCAUGAAGUCGGAAUCGCUAGUAAUCGCGAAUC